rnacentral:rRNA from 1 species
AUCAACGCUGGCGGCGUGCCUAACACAUGCAAGUCGAACGAGAAAGUGGAGCAAUCCAUGAGUACAGUGGCGACCGGGUGAGUAACACGUGACUAACCUACCCUAGAGUGGGGGAUAACCCCGGGAAACCGGGGCUAAUACCGCAUGAAAUCGCGAGGGGAAGAUCCUUGCGAUCAAAGGAGCAAUCCGCUCCGGGAGGGGGUCGCGGCUGAUUAGCUAGUUGGUGAGGUAACGGCCCACCAAGGCGAAGAUCAGUAUCCGGCCUGAGAGGGCGCACGGACACACUGGAACUGAAACACGGUCCAGACUCCUACGGGAGGCAGCAGUGGGGAAUUUUGCGCAAUGGGGGAAACCCUGACGCAGCAACGCCGCGUGGAGGAUGAAGUCCCUUGGGAUGUAAACUCCUUUCGAUCGGGACGAUUAUGACGGUACCGGAAGAAGAAGCCCCGGCUAACUCCUGUGCCAGCAGCCGCGGUAAUACAGGAGGGGGCCAGCGUUGUUCGGAAUUAUUGGGCGUAAAGGGCGCGUAGGCGGUGCGGGUAAGUCUGUACGUGAAAUCUCCUUGGCUCAACUCAGGAACUGCGUCUUAGAACUGCCCGGCUUGAGUGUCGGGAGAGGGUAGUGGAAUUCCCAGGUGUAGCGGUGAAAUGCGUAGAUAUUGGGAGGAACACCUGUGGCGAAAGGCGGCUCACCUGGACCGUAACUGACGCUGAUGCGCGAAAGCUAGGGGAGCAAACAGGAUUAGAUACCCUGGUAGUCCUAGCCUUAAACGAUGAUGCCUUGGUGUAGCGGGUAUCGACUCCCUGACUGUGCCGAAGCUAACGCGUUAAGUGCACUCCGCCUGGGGAGUACGGUCGCAAGGACUGAAACUCAAAGGAAUUGACGGGGGCCCGCACAAGCGGUGGAGCAUGUGGUUCAAUUCGACGCAACGCGAAGAACCUUACCUGGGCUUGAACCGCCGGUGACAGGCCUGGAAACAGGUUUCCCUUCGGGACUGCCUGUAUAGGUGCUGCAUGGCUGUCGUCAGCUCGUGUCGUGAGAUGUUGGGUUAAGUCCCGCAACGAGCGCAACUCUCUUGCCCUUAGUUGCCAUCGAUUCAGUGCCGGGCACUCUAGGCGAAACUGCCCCGGAUAACGGGGAGGAAGGUGGGGAUGACGUCAAGUCCUCAUGGCCUUUAUGUCCAUGGGCUACACACGUGCUACAAUGGUCGGUCACAAAGGGUCGCAAAUGCCGCGAGGGCUGAGCUAAUCCGGAAAAAAGCCGUCCCUCAGUUCGGAUUGUAGUCUGCAACUCGACUCCAUGAAGUUGGAAUCGCUAGUAAUCGCGGAUCAGCACGCCGCGGUGAAUACGUUCCCGGGCCUUGUACACACCGCCCGUCACAUCACGAAAGUCGGGUUGCUACUCGAAGUCGCUGAGGCUAACCCGCAAGGGGAGCAGCGCCCUACGGUAUAAUCGAUGAUUGGGGUG